rnacentral:snRNA from 1 species
AGAUGUGAGGAAGAGCUAGCUUUGCUAUCUGUCACCCUACUGAUUGUCAGGGCAAAUUCAGCUGAUCUGGCUGGCUAGGACAGUGUCCCCUUCCUCCCUAAUGGCUCCAUGUGUGUCCUUCACCAAAGAGCAUAGGACCAGUCUUCUGUCAAGAGUUUACAAAUAGCUGUUCUUUCCUGCUAGAACCUCCAAACAAGCUCUCAAGAAGUGUCAACCUCAGAUUUCCAGCUCAUUUCCUCCUCCUUAAUCAAAUCUU